UUUUAAAAUAUUUGUAAAGGAUUGUAUGCCUUCCAGUAUUUCCAGAUUUAUCAAUAGUAUUUCCUUUCCUAGAUCUAUGAAGAAAAAGGAUCACAGACAGGUGUGAGUGCCCUCUGCACCUACCACCAGUUCCCCAGCAGCAUUGUUCUGGAUGCCAAGCAGGUUUUCCAUGAGCUGAGCAACCAGAGUCAUGGCCUCCAGAAAUUGGGCCUCUGCUACCUGGACAAGGACAGUAUUUACCUCAAUGCUUCGGGGUCAGCCACUGGAUCAACCUUCACUCCUUCACUGGGAUCUACAGGGCCUGGAGCCUACGCGGGUAGGAAUAUGGUGACUGAAGUAUUCUGGAAAGUGCUCACUGGGCUUUUCAAAGCUCUUGAAAGAAGGAAAAAGGAAACAGACUUUAUCCAUACAAAUCC
rnacentral:lncRNA from 1 species